rnacentral:rRNA from 1 species
AUUGAACGCUGGCGGCAGGCCUAACACAUGCAAGUCGAGCGGCAGCGGAAAGUAGCUUGCUACUUUGCCGGCGAGCGGCGGACGGGUGAGUAAUGUCUGGGAAACUGCCUGAUGGAGGGGGAUAACUACUGGAAACGGUAGCUAAUACCGCAUAACGUCGCAAGACCAAAGAGGGGGACCUUCGGGCCUCUUGCCAUCAGAUGUGCCCAGAUGGGAUUAGCUAGUAGGUGGGGUAACGGGUCACCUAGGCGACGAUCCCUAGCUGGUCUGAGAGGAUGACCAGCCACACUGGAACUGAGACACGGUCCAGACUCCUACGGGAGGCAGCAGUGGGGAAUAUUGCACAAUGGGCGCAAGCCUGAUGCAGCCAUGCCGCGUGUAUGAAGAAGGCCUUCGGGUUGUAAAGUACUUUCAGCGGGGAGGAAGGUGUUGAGGUUAAUAACCUCAGCAAUUGACGUUACCCGCAGAAGAAGCACCGGCUAACUCCGUGCCAGCAGCCGCCGUAACAC